AUUGAACGCUGGCGGCAUGCCUUACACAUGCAAGUCGAACGGCAGCACGGGUGCUUGCACCUGGUGGCGAGUGGCGAACGGGUGAGUAAUACAUCGGAACAUGUCCUGUAGUGGGGGAUAGCCCGGCGAAAGCCGGAUUAAUACCGCAUACGAUCUACGGAUGAAAGCGGGGGACCUUCGGGCCUCGCGCUAUAGGGUUGGCCGAUGGCUGAUUAGCUAGUUGGUGGGGUAAAGGCCUACCAAGGCGACGAUCAGUAGCUGGUCUGAGAGGACGACCAGCCACACUGGGACUGAGACACGGCCCAGACUCCUACGGGAGGCAGCAGUGGGGAAUUUUGGACAAUGGGCGAAAGCCUGAUCCAGCAAUGCCGCGUGUGUGAAGAAGGCCUUCGGGUUGUAAAGCACUUUUGUCCGGAAAGAAAUCCUUGGCCCUAAGACGGUCGGGGGAUGACGGUACCGGAAGAAUAAACACCGGCUAACUACGU
rnacentral:rRNA from 1 species